rnacentral:rRNA from 1 species
CCUACGGGUGGCAGCAGUGGGGAAUAUUGGGCAAUGGACGCAAGUCUGACCCAGCAACGCCGCGUGAAGGAAGAAGGCUUUCGGGUUGUAAACUCCUUUUAAGGGGGAAGCGCAGAAGACGGUACCCCUUGAAUAAGCUACGGCUAACUACGUGCCAGCAGCCGCGGUAAUGCGUAGGUGGCAAGUGUUGUCCGGAUUUACUGGGUGUAAAGGGCGUGCAGCCGGGAAGACAAGGCAGAUGUGAAAUCCCGCGGCUCAACCGCGGAACUGCAUUUGAAACUGUUUGUCUUGAGUAGCAGAGAGGUAAGCGGAAUUCCUAGUGUAGCGGUGAAAUGCGUAGAUAUUAGGAAGAACACCAGUGGCGAAGGCAGAUUGCUGGACGACAACUGACGGUGAGGCGCGAAAGCGUGGGGAGCAAACAGGAUUAGAUACCCCGGUAGUC